GAUGAACGCUGGCGGUCUGCUUAACACAUGCAAGUCGAACGGAAUCCUUCGGGAUUUAGUGGCGGACGGGUGAGUAACGCGUGAGAAUCUGCCUUCAGGUUCGGGACAACAGCUGGAAACGGCUGCUAAUACCGGAUGUGCCGAGAGGUGAAAGCUUUGGUGCCUGAAGAUGAGCUCGCGUCUGAUUAGCUAGUAGGAGUGGUAAUGGCACCCCUAGGCGACGAUCAGUAGCUGGUCUGAGAGGAUGAUCAGCCACACUGGGACUGAGACACGGCCCAGACUCCUACGGGAGGCAGCAGUGGGGAAUUUUCCGCAAUGGGCGCAAGCCUGACGGAGCAAGACCGCGUGAGGGAAGAAGGUCUGUGGAUUGUAAACCUCUUUUGAUGGGGAAGAAGACAGUGACGGUACCCAUCGAAUCAGCCUCGGCUAACUCCGUGCCAGCAGCCGCAGUAA
rnacentral:rRNA from 1 species